rnacentral:lncRNA from 1 species
GGGAACGUCACAAUGACAGGAGGGUUUGACUCCAUGAUUUUAUUACAACCAUCACUUACCUGCAGGAGACGGAAGCCAGGGAGGGACACUGGAACCCCAGUAGCCACUGCCAAGGAAGCAGUUGUGUCAUUAGUUUAACUUUUGGAAGCCCGAAGACACAAAUAUGCUGCCCAUCAGAUGGCACAGGCCACCAGAACCAUAGAAGGGAGAAGAGGGCAGGGAGGAGAUGAAAUCAUCUUCAGAAUCAUGGGGAACCACCUUCUCCCUGCUCUUCUCACCCAUCCCCCUCUGGAAAGAGCCUGAAAACAUCAAAGAUGGAGAGAGCCACCAAGGAAUGGUACCUGGGAUGUAGGGCAGACAUUCUUAGGGCAGGGCAACUUUUUAAAGUCUCCUUCUUUCACCCUCUGUGAUAUUUAUUUUCCUCCUGGAGAAGUAUGUGGGUGGUAGGAUUCAGAGGUGGUGUUAGGGUGUCAGGCAUGCAUUGUGCUCCUGAGGUAAAGCAUCAGGGAUCUCUGACACUGGAAGGCUGAGAAGGGCCAGAGUGUGUGGGCUCAGUUGAAGGCUUGGAAGCUAGUGGUCUGGCAGGAUCACUCCUGGCUCCUGGAGGCAGGAAUGCAGCCUGGGAUGCUGGCUAGGAGCAACCCUGUGUUUCAUCUCUCAGGAACCUCAGAAGUGUGGCAGCAGAUGGCAGGUUCUGUGAAGAGCCAGCACAGGGAUGUACACACCAGAAAACACCACAAGGAGUCAUAGGGUCGCUGAGUGGAGAUGGACAGGGAGGAAGGGGUGACUGGAGAAGCUUGGAACAAUCCUGUGGGAUUUAGGCUUCAAUCAACUAACUGAGCAGUGACUACUUUUCCUGGCUUCAGGAUGAGGCUGUCUCUGGGAUCAAGAAGAAAAGUCUCCAAUUCUUUUAUAUUAGCAGCUAUGAGAAUGGAAAAUUUGCUCCAAACUGACUUCAAACAAAGCGUGAUGAAGGAUGAGGUCUUUGAGUUCUUUUAACUUUUGGCUGUGAGAUAGCUAAAUUUUCAGUCCCCAGGGAAACAUUUCAGACAUGCCUUCCUGUUCUUUUAUUAUUUGCAAAUAUACGUUCUCUUCUUGGAGCCCCUGACAGAAGGAAGAGUCUGCUUGGGUUGCAACUCUCCGCAGCCACACAACUCCAGCUGAUUACCGUCUCUGUAAAUUGCUUUGCUCUCUGGUGUCUGAUCUUGUCCAGCAGCUUUAAGACACCAUAUCUACCUUGCCAGCCAUCCCUGUUCCCAACGACAACCAAUUGUAGGAUUCUGACGUCUUCAUAUAUUUCACAUCCUUGGACUCCAGCUCCCCACCGCAGCCAGCCUUGCACUGCUCUUCCUGACAUUAAAUUCCUGCUUCCUUACAACUUAGAUUUUCCUUUAAGUCACAGUAGGCACACAACCCAUGCAAUGCUGCUCAGCCCCUGGAACAGUUCACCUCAAUACUGGCUCCCAUGAGCAGUUUCCAGUACCCUCCUAGAUGACGCUUGAGCAAGUCCCACCAUUCCAUGGGUGACUUCCAAAAACCAAGUUGGGAAAACAUCUAGGACCUCAGAACAUAGGCAGGCCACCUACCACUGACUCUUCCAAACUGCCACAACCCACUUAACAAAUACCUGAGUGACCUCAGAGUUAUUCCCUUGAAUGUAUUACACUGCUCUGAGAUGCUUCAAAGGACGCAAAAUCAUGAAAGAAAGAAAGGUCUGGAGACUUGGGGAACAAGAUGUCAUGGAAACAAGUUUCUCCACACCAGGGGCUCCAUCACUGAAAUCUGCUUCCUUCAAGUACCUGCCUAGUGUCUCAUCCUCAGCUGCCAGCCCAGGCUCAACACAUUUGUACAAACGUGACCCAGGCUCACUCUCCAGAUAGAGCUUACUAGAAAACUUGAGCAAUGAGCACUGAUUUCUCAAAGUCUGGGAAUAUCCAUUGGAAACUUUAUCUUCCCCAAAGAGGUUAAAUGAUGGAGUGACAUUCACAGAGAGCGGUCUUUAUGAAAUGUACAAGAAGUAAGUUUUAAUUGUCUUUUAUUCAGAUAUAAGCUUUCCUUUCACCAGACCCCAGUGAACUAGAUCCAAUAUGAUUGACUAUGGGACUGAAAUCACCCUGGUAAAUAAGGCAAUCUUCCUGGGAUUCCAGACAUUCUUGGAAAAAGGCAGCCCCCCAAGGCAUUGAUGAUGCGACUGAC